rnacentral:rRNA from 1 species
UACAGAGGGUGCGAGCGUUGUUCGGAUUUACUGGGCGUAAAGGGCGCGCAGGCGGUUCUGUUUGUCGAGUGUGAAAGCCCCGGGCUCAACCUGGGAACUGCGCUCGAAACGGCAGAACUAGAGUUCGGGAGAGGAGAGUGGAAUUCCCAGUGUAGAGGUGAAAUUCGUAGAUAUUGGGAAGAACACCGGUGGCGAAGGCGGCUCUCUGGACCGAUACUGACGCUGAGGCGCGAAAGCGUGGGGAGCAAACAGG